rnacentral:pre_miRNA from 1 species
UCUAGAACCCGAGAUAUGGACUGAACACUGAACAGUGUCUGGGCUAUAGGACAUAUUUGGACUUCUCUUUUGAUGCUAAGAUUUGGACUCUAAACCGGCAGAAUUGAGUCUUGGACUCCUCAUGAAUGUUUUAGGCCUAUGUCUUAGCUUUCUAGC